UGCAUCUCAAAAUUUACUGUGGUUUUCUCUUCUUUGGCAUUGGCUGUGUGUUUUGUCAGAAGACAACAAACAUUACUGACCAGGAAACCGCAUCCGAUCUGCAGAACAGAGUGUCCAUACUGGAGAGAACUGUGUCAAAAAUACUAACCGGAAAGGACAACACGAACAUCACAAAUAUCAAUACCUUAAAGGUGGCAAGUGGAGGAAUUCCUAUCUUCAAUAAUACACCGGUAACAUUCUCUGCUUGGUCAAACAGUAAAUCUGGAAUAGGCCCUGGAUUCAUUCUGCAGUUUCCAACCAUCAUUAACAACCAUGGAAAGCAUUACAAUCCAACGAAUGGAAUCUUUAUCGCAUCUGUCCACGGAAUUUAUUUGUUUCACUGGACCAUGCAAUGAUACCAUAGUGGGAGCAGUCAUUGUUGUACCGAUCUUAAAAUAAAUAAUUCAGUAAAAGGAAGAAUUCGUUCUGGAGAAAAUACAAGUGGUUAUUACCAUACUGGGUCCAACACUGUGAUUGUAGAGGUUGAAGCAGGUAAUCAUGUGUGGAUUGAAA